GACGAACGCUGGCGGCGUGCUUAACACAUGCAAGUCGAACGGAAAGGCCCUGCUUUUGUGGGGUGCUCGAGUGGCGAAAGGGUGAGUAACACGCGAGUAACCUGCCCUUGACUUCGGGAUAACUUCAGGGAACUGGGGUUCUUAUCGGAUAUGAGCUCCUGCUGCAUGGGGGGGGUUGGAAAGUUGCGGCGGUUGGGCAUGGACUCGCGGUUUAUCAGCUUGUUGGCGGGGUAGUGGCUUACCAAGGCUUUGACGGGUAGCCAGCCUGCGAGGGUGACCGGCCACAUUGGGACAGGGAUGCCGCCCGGACUCCAACGGGGGGCAGCGGUGGGGAUUAGUGCACACUGGGCGGAGGCCGGAUGCAGCAACGCCGCGUGCGGGAUGACGGCCUUCGGGUUAUAACCCGCUUUCGCCUGUGACGAAGAGUAAGUGACGGUAAUGGGUAAAAAAGCACCGGCUAACUACGUG
rnacentral:rRNA from 1 species